AUUGAACGCUGGCGGCAGGCCUAACACAUGCAAGUCGAACGGGAACAGGAAGAAGCUUGCUUCUUUGCUGACGAGUGGCGGACGGGGGGGUAAUGUCUGGGGAACUGCCUUUUUGAGGGGGGUAACUACUGGAAACGGUAGCUAAUACCCCAUAACCUCCCAACACCAAAAAGGGGGGCCUUUUGGGCCCUUGCCCGCGGGUGUGCCCAGAUGGGGUUAGCUAGUAGUUGGGGUAACGGGUCACCUAGGCGACGAUCCCUAGCUGGUCUGAGAGGAUGACCAGCCACACUGGAACUGAGACACGGUCCAGACUCCUACGGGAGGCAGCAGUGGGGAAUAUUGCACAAUGGGCGCAAGCCUGAUGCAGCCAUGCCGCGUGUAUGAAGAAGGCCUUCGGGUUGUAAAGUACUUUCAGCGGGGAGGAAGGGAGUAAAGUUAAUACCUUUACUCAUUGACGUUACCCGCAGAAGAAGCACCGGCUAACUCCGUG
rnacentral:rRNA from 1 species